GACGAACCGUGCGAACGUUAUUCGGAAUCACUGGGCUUAAAGCGCGUGUAGGCGGCUCGGUAAGUCCGCUCUGAAAGUCCGGGGCUCAACCCCGGGAGGCGGGUGGAUACUGUCGAGCUCGAGUCCGGAAGAGGCGAGUGGAAUUCCUGGUGUAGCGGUGAAAUGCGCAGAUAUCAGGAGGAACACCGAUGGCGAAGGCAGCUCGCUGGGACGGUACUGACGCUGAGACGCGAAAGCGUGGGGAGCAAACAGG
rnacentral:rRNA from 1 species